GAUGAACGCUGGCGGCGUGCCUAAUACAUGCAAGUCGAGCGAACAGACGAGGAGCUUGCUCCUCUGACGUUAGCGGCGGACGGGUGAGUAACACGUGGAUAACCUACCUAUAAGACUGGGAUAACUUCGGGAAACCGGAGCUAAUACCGUAUAAUAUAUUGAACCGCAUGGUUCAAUAGUGAAAGACGGUUUUGCUGUCACUUAUAGAUGGAUCCGCGCCGCAUUAGCUAGUUGGUAAGGUAACGGCUUACCAAGGCAACGAUGCGUAGCCGACCUGAGAGGGUGAUAGGCCACACUGGAACUGAGACACGGUCCAGACUCCUACGGGAGGCAGCAGUAGGGAAUCUUCCGCAAUGGGCGAAAGCUUGACGGAGCAACGCCGCGUGAGUGAUGAAGGUCUUCGGAUCGUAAAACUCUGUUAUUAGGGAAGAACAAAUGUGUAAGUAACUAUGCACGUAUUGACGGUACCUAAUCAGAAAGCCACGGCUAACUACGUG
rnacentral:rRNA from 1 species